rnacentral:sRNA from 1 species
GCUGGGCACAGUGGUACAUGCCUGUAAUCCCAGUGGCUCAGGAGGCUGAGGCAGGAGGAUCACAAGCUGGAGGCCAGCCUCAGCAAUUUAGCAAGGCUCUAGCAAAUCAAUGAGACCCUGCCUUGA